CUCCGUCGGGUUAAAUUCAACACGAAUUAAUCUUUCGCCUUUUACUAAAGAUUACCGUGGACUUGACCCCUAUCAUGGCGGCUUGAUCCAAUUUCUUGAUCCUCCCUUUGGGAGGG
rnacentral:snRNA from 1 species